rnacentral:lncRNA from 1 species
UGAAAACACAAUAGUAAAGUUCAUGCAUAUAAAAUGCCUUUUGAUUGAACAAAACAAACACCACCACCACCAAUAUGUUACAUCGCAUGAUCCAACAGGUUCGCUUAAAAUGUACUAUAGUGAAUGCAUUGCUUCAUCCAAACUACAGGUUUCCAAUGCAUCAUCCAAACUACAGGUUUCCACAAGAAUUGACAUAUAGAACUUCCAUCAGGAUGGGAUUAAGGUAUAUCUCAGUUACUACCACCACCGAAGAGGUAUCCCAGAGAAGAUCCACCACCAGGAGCAGCAUGGACUUUGGUUGAAGGUCGAUCC